AACAUCGCUUCCUGUAAGUUUUCGAAGUAUGACCUGCCCGCUGAUUCAUUGAAGGGCCGCGGUAUCCUGACCGUGCAAAGGUAGCAUAAUCAUUAGUCUUUUAAUUGUAGACUGGUAUGAAUGGUUUGACGAGACGUUAACUGUCUUUAGUUUAGAUGUAUUAUUGAAUCUGGUUUUUUGGUAAAAAUACCUAAAUUUUUUUAUGGGACGAGAAGACCCUAUAGAGUUUUAUAUAACUUUUCCUUGAGCUGUCAGGUUCACUUUUUUUGGUACUGUUGUAUUUUGUUGGGGUGAUGGGAAGAUAAAAUUAACUCUUCUUUUUUUUCGUACACUCAUUUGUGAUACUU
rnacentral:rRNA from 1 species